rnacentral:rRNA from 1 species
ACGGCUCAGUAACACGUGGAUAAUCUACCCUUAGGACCGGGAUAACCCUGGGAAACUGGGGAUAAUACUGGAUAGGCAAUUAUUCCUGUAAUGGUUUUUUGUUUAAAUGUUUUUUCGCCUAAGGAUGAGUCUGCGGCCGAUUAGGUAGUUGGUUAGGUAAUGGCUUACCAAGCCGUUGAUCGGUACGGGUUGUGAGAGCAAGAGCCCGGAGAUGGAACCUGAGACAAGGUUCCAGGCCCUACGGGGUGCAGCAGGCGCGAAACCUCCGCAAUGCGAGCAAUCGCGACGGGGGAAACCCAAGUACCACUCUUAACGGGGUGGUUUUUCUGAAGUGUAAAAAGCUUCAGGAAUAAGAGCUGGGCAAGACCGGUGCCAGCCGCCGCGGUAACACCGGCAGCUCGAGUGGUGGCCGUUUUUAUUGGGCCUAAAGCGUUCGUAGCCGGUUUGAUAAGUCUCUGGUGAAAUCCUACAGCUUAACUGUGGGAAUUGCUGGAGAUACUAUCAGGCUUGAGGCCGGGAGAGGCUGGAGGUACUCCCGGGG